UGGGGAAUAUUGCACAAUGGGCGCAAGCCUGAUGCAGCCAUGCCGCGUGUAUGAAGAAGGCCUUCGGGUUGUAAAGUACUUUCAGCGGGGAGGAAGGUGUUGUGGUUAAUAACCACAGCAAUUGACGUUGCCCGCAGAAGAAGCACCGGCUAACUCCGUGCCAGCAGCCGCGGUAAUACGGAGGGUGCAAGCGUUAAUCGGAAUUACUGGGCGUAAAGCGCACGCAGGCGGUCUGUCAAGUCGGAUGUGAAAUCCCCGGGCUCAACCUGGGAACUGCAUUCGAAACUGGCAGGCUAGAGUCUUGUAGAGGGGGGUAGAAUUCCAGGUGUAGCGGUGAAAUGCGUAGAGAUCUGGAGGAAUACCGGUGGCGAAGGCGGCCCCCUGGACAAAGACUGACGCUCAGGUGCGAAAGCGUGGGGAGCAAACA
rnacentral:rRNA from 1 species